rnacentral:piRNA from 1 species
AUCUGGUGAGAGAGAAGGAUGCU